UUGGGAAGCAGUUCCAGAUGGCUGAUGAGCACCUUGAGCCAAAAGGAGAAUUCUUUUUAAAGCCUCAGUGUACAUAGGUUUCACAGGUUAAGAUACAAGUCACCAAUGUUGCAUAAAUUUCAGAGCUGCUGCAACAAAGUACCACAAACCGGAUGGCUUAGAACCACAGACACAUAUUGUUUCACAGUUCUGAAGGUCAGAAGUCUGAAAUCAAGGUGGCAGCACAGCCAUACCUCCUCCCCCGAAGGCAUUAAUGAAGGAUCUAUCACAGGCAUCCUCUGAGGUUCCGGAGUUCAUUGGCUAUGACUCAAACUGAAACAUCGGUUCACCUCGGGCCUUGAGCCUGCUGGCUUUCAGAAUGAAGUGCACCAUCAACUCUCCUGGUUCUCAGGCCUUCGGACUGGGACUAAAAGUCUAGAGUGGCUCUCCUGGGUUCAGUAUGCCAACUGCAGAUCUUGAGAUGUGACAGCCUCCAUAAU